GUAUAUAGUCUCCACAUUGACUCUGUACCAAUACCCCCUGUAUAUAGCCUCCACAUUGACUCUGUACCGGUACCCCCUGUAUAUAGCCUCCACAUUGACUCUGUACCGGUACCCCCUGUAUAUAGUCUCCACAUUGACUCUGUACCGGUGCCCCCUGUAUAUAGCCUCACUACUGUUAUUUACUGCUGCUCUUUAAUUAGUUGUUAUUCUUAUCGCUUACUUUUUUUGUGUGUAUUUUCUGAAAACUGCAUUGUUGGUUAAAGGUUUGUAAGUAAAGCAUUUCACUGUAAGGUCUACACAUUUUGAUUUGAUUUGCAAAACCUAAAGACUUGUAUCCAUCAAUCCACUAUCAGAUGCUGUGAGCCCUCAACAACAGGUUUACUUUGGAGCUGUUGGAUGUUGUCGUGUAAACAUCCCCAUAAUAGUAGUACUAAUAGAGUACUGUAGUAUAUACUACUGUGGGAUAUGAACAUAUCAUAUAUAACACUAUAAUGUGGGAUAUGAACAUAUCAUAUAUAACAGUAUAAUGUGGGAUAUGAACAUAUCAUAUAUAUAUAUAUAUAUAUAUAUAUAUAACAGUAUAAUGUGGGAUAUGAACAUAUCAUAUAUAUAUAUAUAUAUAUAUAACAGUAUAAUGUGGGAUAUGAACAUAUCAUAUAUAACGGUAUAAUGUGGGAUAUGAACAUAUCGUAUAUAACAGUAUAAUGUGGGAUAUGAACAUAUCAUAUAUAACAAUAUAAUGUGGGAUAUGAACAUAUCAUAUAUAACAGAAUAAUGUGGGAUAUGAACAUACCAUAUUUUUGUACGGGUUAACAACCGUUAAUGGAAGUUGUCAGUAAUCCAUCUUAGGACAACCAGUUUUCCACGUCCCUGCUGCUAACCCUCUUGGUGCAGAUAGCAACGUAGUAAAGCUCCAUAGUUUGCUGUGCACCAUUAAAUAGACCUUCAAUGUCUUGAUGAGUGAUCCGUUCCUGCUGUUGGAGCAGUCUCCCUGCUGUAGGAGUAGUCUCUCUGCCGUAGGAGUAGUCUCUCUGCCGUAGGAGUAGUCUCCCUGCCGUAGGAGUAGUCUCCAUGCCGUAGGAGUAGUCUCUCUGCCGUAGGAGUAGUCUCUCUGCCGUAGGAGAAGUCUCCCUGCCGUAGGAGUAGUCUCCCUGCCGUAGGAGUAGUCUCCCUGCCGUAGGAGUAGUCUCCCUGCCGUAGGAGUAGUCUCCCUGCCGUAGGAGUAGUCUCCCUGCCGUAGGAGUAGUCUCCCUGCCGUAGGAGUAGUCUCCCUGCCGUAGGAGUAGUCUCUCUGCCGUAGGAGUAGUCUGUAGGAGUAGUCUGUGGGAGUCGUCUCUCUGCCGUAGGAGCAGUCUGUAGGAGUAGUCUGUAGGAGUAGUCUCUCUGCCUAGUCUCUCUGCCGUAGGAGCAGUCUGUAGGAGUAGUCUGUAGGAGUAGUCUCUCUGCCGUAGGAGCAGUCUGUAGGAGUAGUCUGUAGGAGUAGUCUCUCUGCCGUAGGAGCAGUCUGUAGGAGUAGUCUCCCUGCUGUAGGAGUAGUCUGUAGGAGUAGUCUCCCUGCUGUAGGAGUAGUCUGUAGGAGUAGUCUGUAGGAGAAGUCUCUCUGCCGUAGGAGUAGUCUGUAGGAGUAGUCUCCCUGCUGUAGGAGCAGUCUCUCUGCCGUAGGAGUAGUCUCUCUACUGUAGGAGUAGUCUCUCUGCCGUAGGAGCAGUCUCUCUGCCGUAGGAGCAGUCUCUCUGCCGUAGGAGUAGUCUGUAGGAGUAGUCUCCCUGCUGUAGGAGCAGUCUCUGCCGUAGGAGUAGUCUCCCUGCUGUAGGAGUAGUCUCUCUGCUGUAGGAGUAGUCUCCGUGCUGUAGGAGUAUUCUGUUGGAGUAGUCUCCGUGCUGUAGGAAUAGUCUGUUGGAGUAGUCUUCGUGCCGUAGGAGUAGUCUGUAGGAGUAGUCUCUGUGCUGUAGGAGUAGUCACCGUGCUGUAGGAGUAGUCUGUAGGAGUAGUCUCCCUGCUGUAGGAGUAGUCUGUAGGAGUAGUCUGUAGAAGAAGUCUCUCUGCCGUAGGAGUAGUCUGUAGGAGCAGUCUCUCUGCCGUAGGAGUAGUCUCUCUACUGUAGGAGUAGUCUCUCUGCCGUAGGAGCAGUCUCUCUGCCGUAGGAGCAGUCUCCCUGCCGUAGGAGCAGUCUCCCUGCCGUAGGAGCAGUCUCCCUGCCGUAGGAGCAGUCUCUCUGCCGUAGGAGCAGUCUCUCUGCCGUAGGAGCAGUCUCUCUGCCGUAGGAGCAGUCUCUCUGCCGUAGGAGCAGUCUCUCUGCCGUAGGAGCAGUCUCUCUGCCGUAGGAGUAGUCUGUAGGAGUAGUCUCCCUGCUGUAGGAGUAGUCUCCCUGCCGUAGGAGCAGUCUCCCUGCUGUAGGAGCAGUCUCCCUGCUGUAGGAGCAGUCUCCCUGCUGUAGGAGCAGUCUCUCUACUGUAGGAGUAGUCUCUCUGCUGUAGGAGUGGUCUCCAUUCUGUAGGAGUACUCUCCGUGCUGUAGGAGUAGUCUCCGUGCUGUAGGAGUAGUCUGUUGGAGUAGUCUCCGUGCUGUAGGAGUAGUCUGUUGGAGUAGUCUUCAUGCCGUAGGAGUAGUCUGUAGGAGUAGUCUCCGUGCUGUAGGAGUAGUCUCCAUUCUGUAGGAGUAGUCUCCGUGCCGUAGGAGUAGUCUGUAGGAGUAGUCUCCGUGCUGUAGGAGUAGUCUCCAUUCUGUAGGAGUAGUCUCCGUGCCGUAGGAGUAGUCUGUAGGAGUAGUCUCCGUGCUGUAGGAGUAGUCUCCAUACUGUAGGAGUAGUCUCCGUGCCGUAGGAGUAGUCUCCCUGCUGUAGGAGUAGUCUCCAUUCUGUAGGAGUAGUCUCCGUGCCGUAGGAGUAGUCUGUAGGAGUAGUCUCCAUUCUGUAGGAGUAGUCUGUAGGAGUGGUCUCCGUGCCGUAGGAGUAGUCUCCCUGCUGUAGGAGUAGUCUGUAGGAGUAGUCUCCAUUCUGUAGGAGUAGUCUCCCUACUGUAGGAGUAGUCUCCAUUCUUUAGGAGUAGUCUCCGUGCCAUAGGAGUAGUCUGUAGGAGUAGUCUCCAUUCUGUAGGAGUAGUCUCCCUACUGUAGGAGUAGUCUCCAUUCUUUAGGAGUAGUCUCCGUGCCAUAGGAGUAGUCUGUAGGAGUAGUCUCCAUUCUGUAGGAGUAGUCUGUAGGAGUAGUCUCCGUGCCGUAGGAGUAGUCUCCCUGCUGUAGGAGUAGUCUGUAGGAGUAGUCUCCAUUCUGUAGGAGUAGUCUCCCUACUGUAGGAGUAGUCUGUAGGAGUAGUCUCCAUUCUGUAGGAGUAGUCUCCCUACUGUAGGAGUAGUCUGUAGGAGUAGUCUCCGUGCCGUCGGAGUAGUCUCUCUGCUGUAGGAGUAGUCUCCGUGACGUAGGAU
ensembl:lncRNA